rnacentral:tRNA from 1 species
UCCCUGGAGGACUAGUGGUUAGGCCUCGGUGCUCUCACUGCUGCGGCCCGGGUUCAACUACCAGCUAGGGAA